GAUGAACGCUGGCGGCGUGCCUAAUACAUGCAAGUCGAGCGAACAGACGAGGAGCUUGCUCCUCUGACGUUAGCGGCGGACGGGUGAGUAACACGUGGAUAACCUACCUAUAAGACUGGGAUAACUUCGGGAAACCGGAGCUAAUACCGGAUAAUAUAUUGAACCGCAUGGUUCAAUAGUGAAAGACGGUUUUGCUGUCACUUAUAGAUGGAUCCGCGCCGCAUUAGCUAGUUGGUAAGGUAACGGCUUACCAAGGCAACGAUGCGUAGCCGACCUGAGAGGGUGAUCGGCCACACGGGAACUGAGACACGGUCCAGACUCCUACGGGAGGCAGCAGUAGGGAAUCUUCCGGAAUGGGCGAAAGCGUGACGGAGCAACGCCGCGUGAGUGAUGAAGGUCUUCGGAUCGUAAAACUCUGUUAUUAGGGAAGAACAAAUGUGUAAGUAACUAUGCACGUCUUGACGGUACCUAAUCAGAAAGCCACGGCUAACUACGUG
rnacentral:rRNA from 1 species